rnacentral:lncRNA from 1 species
UUUCUCACUGUGCUAAGCUUAUGCAUCCUCAGCGCAAGCUUAGAGGCUGUACAUUAUAAACUCAAAACCAAAACCUAUGUGCAAUUUGUAUGUAACUGUCUUGGUUUGUAGUUCAUUUCAUAUCAUUGUUACAAAUGAGAUUGUUUGUCAUAAGUACUGCAUUAUGGACCAAGCUGUUGCUAGAAGUAGAUUUGGCAGUGGACUUGCUCCAUAAGUCAAUGAUGUUCUACAGAAGUAAACACAUGAUUUUAUAACUUUUUUUUUUUUCAUAAGACACUGAUUUAUCUUACUCUGCGCAUGAAUAGACCUCUAUUGCCCUUCAAUUUACUAUUUAUUUUCUAAAAGGUAAGAAGGCAUUGAUUAAAAACAUAACCAUGGUGAUGUCUAGCUGUGGUUUUCUUGUAGGAUCAACCUUUGAAACGUUCCCGGCAAAAGAGUGAUGUGUCCAGAAGUGCUAAUAAGUACAAAUGUGAAAUGGUAAAAUACUUGAGAAUUAUGAUUUUGAUACUUUCUUUCGCAGGGUAGCCACCUACUAAUUGCAAAUGUUUUAAAAGCAGAAACCUUUUAGAUGGCUUUCCAAAGAUGCACGCAGACCUGUUAUCGAUGAAGCACCUGUGUUUUAUCCAACAGAGGAGGUGCUUGUUAAAACUUACCACUAGGAGCUGUUUAGAUAAAUGCUGUUGCUCUAUGUAUCUUUUGCUUAUGAAAUAAUUUGUCUUCUUAGGAAUUUGUAGAUACACUUGGUUACAUUGCUAGCAUAAGAGAGAAAGCAGAAAAAUAUGGUAUAUGUCGCAUUAUUCCACCUUCCUCUUGGUCACCACCUUGUCCUCUAAAAGAAGAGAACUUCUGGCGGUGUGCUAAAUUUAGCACUCGAAUACAAGAAGUUGACAAGCUUCAAAACAGAGAGCCAAUGAGAAAAAAGUCUAGAAAUCGUUGUCAUAAAAGAAGGCGAAGAAAGCGCUUGAGAUUUGGGAUGACUCGUAGGAGAAAUGCCUCUGCUGCUUCUGAAACCAAUGACUGUCUUGGCUCAGACACAGAUGAGAAGUUUGGUUUUCAAUCUGGAUCAGACUAUACACUUGAGACAUUUAAAAAAUAUGCUGAUGAGUACAAAAGACGGUAUUUUGGAGUUAAAGGUGCUACUGAAAGUAUAGAUUUCCAAGAUGACAACCGUGAGAAGAGGUUGGAGCCCUCAGUAGUGGAUAUUGAAGGAGAAUAUUGGCGGAUAGUUGAGGAUCCAACUGAUGAGAUUGAGGUAUUAGCUUCUUUAUCUUUAUUUUUAUUUGUCACAAUAAUAACUGAUAAUUCAUUCCAUGUUCUUAUUGAAAUACAGGUCCUUUAUGGUGCUGAUCUCGAUACUGCAACAUUUGGUAGUGGGUUUCCUAAAGCAUCUGCAGAAAAUAAGAUUUCAUUGGAUCCUUGUGUUCUUUCAGGCUGGAACUUAAAUAAUCUACCACGGCUUCCUUGUUCGGUUCUUUCAUUUGAAAAGGAGGAUAUCUCAGGGGUGUUAGUACCUUGGUUAUAUGUGGGAAUGUGCUUUUCCUCAUUUUGUUGGGUAAGUCUAUGGUUGAUUUUUAAAGUUCUUUCUGCCUUCCAUCCAUCAUUUGCUAUAAAAAUCUCACUACUUUAUUAAUUGAAUUGCUUUUAUUAAGUUUUUCCACCAAUGAAAAACAAAAGUUUUGGUUGUGCAAAAAUGGAUGAUAGUUAAUCCACAAAAUAAACUGUGAUGACACUUCUUGUUUUAUUAUGCUUCUUUUCUAAGUGAUAUUGCUCUUAAUACAGCUGAAUGGUAGAAAAAUCAAAGUAGAUGACCCUAGAUAGUUGGGAAUGACAUCUAUCAUAUUUUUGAUAUAUUAUCCCUUGCAUCCUGCAUAGAUCUAUAUAAUCUUCUAUAUAUAAUUACUAUGUGUGUUCUAGCUUCUUUUCUUUUGCCAAUAUUCUUUGUAAUUUGCAUAUUCUGUUUGAUGAUCAUUAAUCUCUUUUGGCAAUGUGUCAAGGUAGCAUGUGGAAGACCACCAUCUUUAUUCUUUAAACUACAUGCACUUUGGUGAUCCCAAAGUAUGGUAUGGGGUUCCAGGCAAUGAUGCUGUGAAGCUGGAGGAUGCCAUGAGAAAACAUCUUCCUGAUUUGUUUGAAGAGCAACCGAAUCUGCUGCAUGAAUUGGCAAGUUGUACCAAUUUUUCGUUUUAGAUCUUCAACAAUGCUUGGCUUAGAAAUACAUGUAUUCAUCAUCCUGUAAGUUAUGGCUUAGAUCGUGAUGCACACCCUCAUCGUGUCAUGAGAUCUUUUAUUAGUAUGUUUUGUAUCUUCUUCUUGACUGCGUGAUUUGGGUCUCAGAGUUCAUUCAUAAUUUUUUUUCCCAGUGUAAAUUACAUUCAUUUAAUUUUUAAACUACAUUGCAUCUUGUAUAUUUCUUUAUUUAGCUGAUAGUAUAUAUCUUCAUCUCAUUGGUUCUAAUUAUUGAAAUAGCCUCUCAACACGGGGGGAAGACUACAUGUUUGAUUCUCACCAGAAUUCUCAAUGGCGGUAGACUUUUUAAGCUAGCCUUCCUCUUUUAGUUCUCUCUCGUUAGCGUGUUCUUUGAAUAUGUGGUUAAUGAUGAAACUGGCAAAAAUAUGUCAAUGUACAUUAUAAGCUCUUCUUGUUACUUUCUCCAAGUCUUGUUUUUUAUGUUGACCAUUCAAAUAUUGGUUUCUAGAUCUGAUUUGGAUUUUGAAUUUUUGGUUUUUUUUUUUCCUUAUGCUUGUCCUUUUCUUGGUCACCAGUCCUUUGGUAUCUAAGAAAAUAUUUUGGGCUUGAGAUCAUAAGGUUAUGAAUAACGAUUUAUCAAGUUCUUUAUAUAUAUUCAUGCAUCAAGAUAUGAGAUGCCCAUAAUAAAACUAGUUGAAUCAAAAGCAUCAAUUUGGCAUACUAUGAUUUAUUUUAAGUGAUGAUUUUGAUUAGUUGUUCCUUCAAAUGUCUUGCCCACAAGCACACGCACACACACAAGAAGUAAGAGAAGCCUUUACCAUACUGAUACUCAUACUCUGGCAAUGUGCUACAAAGUGGGUCGAGCAUGUCUUUUGUCUUUUAAUACUUGAACAAACAUAAUUUCUGGAGUGUCUUUUAUAGUAAUAUUUUUUGUCACUCAAAUUGGAGUUUACGUAUUUAUAUGAUUUUUACUGUAUAAAUACAUGACUGUUUUGGGAGUUUAAUUUCUGAUCCAACUUAAGCAGGUUACGCAGUUGUCCCCCUCUGUCCUAAAAUCUGAAGGAAUCCCUGUAUAUCGUGCUGUUCAGAACCCUGGAGAAUUUGUUCUUACUUUUCCAAGAGCAUACCAUUCUGGUUUCAACUGCGGAUUCAAUUGUGCUGAGGCAGUAAAUGUUGCUCCAGUUGACUGGCUUCCACGUGGUCUUUGUGCUACUGAGUUGUAUAGUGAACAACACCGGAAAACAUCCUUGUCCCAUGAUAAGUUACUGGUAGGGGUUGCAAGGGAAGCUGUUAAAGAGCAGCUGGAGCUGUAUUUUCUUCAGAGUAGCAAUCCAAGAUUACUUAGGUGGGAAAAAUUUUGUGGGAAGGAUGGAGUUCUAACUAAGGCCCUUAAGGUAAUAUAUCUUUCUAUUUAAGUCAUUCUUAUCUAGCAAUAAGUUUCUUUUUCAUGAAGAUGUAAGCGAAGCCAAAAACCUUGAUUAUUGACAUCAAGGUUCUGGGAUCGAACCAUCUUCAUAAUUUACCCUUUGCCAAAAAAAAAUUUCUUUUUCAUCCUUGCCAUUUAUUACUGUUACAGGCAAGAGUCAUUAUGGAGAAUAAAAGAAUGGAGAGUGUUUCUAGUAUUUCAAAUGUGAGAAAGAUGGACAAGGAUUUUGAUUUAUCAACUGAAAGAGAAUGCUUUUUAUGCUCUUAUGACCUGCACCUGUCUGCUGCUGGUUGUGAAUGCUCCCCACAUCGCUAUGGAUGUCUGUCCCAUGCGAAACAUGUAUGCUCCUGUGAGCCUAGUAAAAAAAUUUUACUGGUUCGAUAUAACUUGGAUGAACUAAAUGCCCUCGUGGUGGCUCUGGAAGGGGAUUUGGGUGCAGUGAAAUGUCACAGAUUAGAGGACUUUGGAUUGGUGUUACCUAUGCAGUUGAAAUUAUUGGAAGAACCAAAAGAUUCCUUGGAUAAAGGCAUCUCUGAACAUGAGAGACCACUGAUUGAAGUAGAUGCUAUGGAUGCUGAUACUAGAGUCCACAAUCAGUAUAGUGAUGACCAAGUAUCUAAAGCUCUUUGUCUUGAAUAUAUAGAGGAUAAAACCUUCAGUCUUUUUCAAAAACCAAGAAGAAUUCAUAAUAUCAAUGAGCUGUUUACAUCUGGAUAUGCUCAUACUGCAGAAAUUGUCAUUUCAAAUGAUGAAGAAGGGAAUUGUGUAAAUACAAAAUCUGAUGCAGUACCUUCAGAUGUGAAAUCAUAUACUGUGCUGCAUAAUGUUAUUGGAUGUCAGGGGUCAUCAUCAGGAAAAGCUAACACCUUCCCAUUCAGCAGGAAUGAGGAUGAAGGGCAUCAGUUUUGUCCAGAUCUGAACAUAGGACAACCAACCAUGGAUUCUGUGGUCAAAACUGAAGAUUGUUGUGUUGAAUAUACCGAAGCAGUGGUAUGUGCUGUUAAGGAAGUGCAGAAUUGGAACUCUGAUUUAUCUCGACCGGAGUGUUCCUCAAAUCAUAGAGUCGCUGGUGUAAAUGGAUAUGGCAAGGCCAGGAAGAAAAUGGAGCAUGGUACUGUGAGAAAAAAAAAGAAAAUAAGAAUGGGUUCUGAUUGUGGGUUCUCAAAGUCCUCGAGUCCUGCUGACUUGGGUUCUUCCCAUGUUUCUUCUGAAAGGUUUUUAAAUAAGACAUCGUGUUCAAGCGAUACUGAAUGCUUCCAUAAACUUAGUCCUGAACUUUUUGGAGUUGACCUACAGCAUGAUCUCUACAGUUCAUCCAUGCCUUCAGACAGUCAACGAAGUCAGUCUAUGAAGGAUAAUUCAAACCAUUCGAGUGCAUUUAAUCAAGGCAUUAGUAAAUUUGAAAAGACUCAUCUAAUGCCAAAAUAUUGUGUUGAGCCUCUUAAUUUAGGAAAGUUGAAGCAUGGAAAGCAAUGGUGUAGUAGAGAAGCCAUCUUCCCAAAUGGUAUAUUUCAAUUUGUUCAAUUAUAUAAACUUUCUUUUUUGCUAUUUCAUAAUAUAUUAACGAAUUUGACGUAUUGAUCUUACAGGAUUCAAAAGCCAUGUCAGAUUUUACAAUGUGCUCGAUCCGACAAAAUUAUGUAACUAUGUCUCGGAAGUUCUAGAUGCUGGAUGUUUGGGACCUUUGUUUAAGGUUGGAAGCCUAGGAUUUGUAUCAACUUUCACUUUGCUGAUAUGCUAUUAUCAAAGUUCACCUCUUUAUUUGCAUUACAUGAAGAUUGUUCAAGUUACUUUCCCUGUAGGCUUAACCUAUUGAAAAUGUUCUUUAUCCAAACAUUAUCGCUGGAGCUAUCACCAUUAAAUUUACUUGUGAUGGUAAAAAAUUGUUAGAUGCAAAUUCUGUUGGUAUAUAUGUAAAUACAAAAGGACACUAGCCAUACAACUUUACAUGAUCAGAUGCAGAUAGUACCAUCACAAUAUACAAGAACAACAAAAAAAAAAUUUCUUGGCAACGAGCCAUGCUUCAUUAUAAACUACUACAAUUUUUUUUCUUUCUCCCAAAUGCUCUUUCAAGAUGCAUAUAUUUUAAAGAAAAUAUAUUUUUUUUUGGCAUUCAUAUAUAUUUUUCUUUUCCUUUUCAGUCUGUCUAACAAGCGUCUUUGAGCUGUCUAAUUCUGAUGUACAUAGAUCAUGACUAAUCUAGGUUUAUUGUAUGCUUGACAUUUUGUUUAGGUGAUUGUGGAGAACAACCCAGGGAUAUCUUUCACUAGCGCUUCUCCUUUACAGUGUUGGGAAAUGGUUCGAGAAAGACUAAACCAAGAGAUUGUUAGACAGCAAAAUCUUGGGAAGAAUGGCCUUCCUGAACUGCAAACCAUAGAAUCCAUGGAUGGGCUUGCAAUGUUUGGGUUCUUAUCCCCAUCAAUCGUUCAUGUAAGUCUUACUCCUUCAUAUCCAGAGCCACUACCUUUUGUGUUUGUGUUGCUGUUGUCAGCUUCUAUUAGUCCAAAUAUGAUUAAAAUCUACCACAAUCUUACCUUUUGUGUUUGUGUCUCUGUUGUCAGCUUCUAGUAGUCGAAACUUGAUUAAAAUCUACCACUACAAACUUACUACUAGUUUUGUUAUUUGUGCAAUAUCCAGCCAUAAAAUAUUAUAAUAUAAGCUAGUCUUUUGAGUUUGUAAACUUUUUUAACCUUGUUGCUUGGAUCACUCCUGGAAGUUUUCCAGUUUCAAAAUGUUGAAAAUUCCGUUGUUAUUUUGUAGGAAAAGUGAAUUCUUUCAACCAGUUUUAAGUAGUGAUCAUUGACACCCUUGUUUAAUUUUAAGCUACUAUUUUCUUCAUAAAAAUUGUUAACUACAUUGUAUGAGACACUUCACUACUUAGAACUGCCAGCAGGUUGUUGAAGCUCUUGAUCCUUACCAUCGGUGUUCGGAGUACUGGGAGUCCAAGUUGGGUUCAUCAUAUGUUUCUGAGAGGACGGAUGUGAAAGAUAAGCCUGCAGAAGUUCCUACGACUUUAGACAUUCAUGUCGGCAGUAGUGAUUGCCAUCAGGACAAGAGAAUUUUAUUGGGAGUGGAUUUAAAUGAGACGGAAGAGGAUGCAACAUAUGACAAUACUGUCGAAGAGGUUAAGAACAUAGCGAGAGGGCUCUUCAAGAAGGCAAGCCUUGAAGAGCUACGGGUGAUGCAGAAAAUUUUGUGCAGCGAGUCAGGAAGCAGCACAUGGAGAAGUGCGUACGGGGCCCUAUUAGAUGAGAUCCUGGAAAAUGUACAUAAAUAGAGUAUAAAAGCAAGCAAGAUGAGCCUUUGUUAGAUUGGCGAUGCAACUGCUUGAAUCUCUGCAGUCUUCUAGAUGAGACAAUGCCAUUCAGAGCCACUGUUCGUUUGGGUUGAAGUUAGACUGAUCAAAUUCUAUAGAGUUUUCCAUUUGGUUAUUCUUUCUGAUCUCCAUAAAGAACAUGAUGAAUUCAUGCACCGGUCGACUUGCCUGUGCAGCUAGAUAAUGUUUUUAGGGUUUGUUUUUUUAGUUCUUUUUUUUGGGCCCCGGGCCAUUAUUGCCCGUGGAGUGCCUGAUGUGAAUAAUUGCUAACAACACAGGCCAUUUGUACAAAAGAUAGUUUAAGACUAAUUUAUACAUUCGAGAAAAUAAAGAUUGAACACAUGAAGAUGUGGUUAUUUCUUGAACUUGCUGUGGUAUCCGUUAAUGUUUCACCUUUGUGAAUCCAUUGUCGCAGAAAGCAAGGCUGCCGGCUACUCAUGUUGGGGGAGUACUCUUUUUUGUACUAUCACGGGAGACUGUAGGAAGGUUAAAGAAAAAACCAUAUGUUUCGUGAGAACAAACAAUUAUUGGGAAAUAUAUCAAAAUAUUCCCACCAUAUUUCUGCCAUUAGUAAUGCAACAUAACAUUGCCCUUCACGUCCCAUUUUGCUAUCUUUUCUUUGGUUUGAUCUUUGUGAUCGUUUGCAAUCUAUAUGUAUUUGGUCACUUGUUGACCUUCUCUCUCUCUCUCUCUCUCUCUCUCUGCCGUAUAAAUAUGUCGUGUAGAGAGGCAGAGCCAUCUUGCUGUGUGUAGUUUAUUCAACUCCAUCCGUGCUAAUCAAAAUCUUCUUAAGCCGAAGAAACCGAGGAGAAGAUUGGAACUCGUGGCUGUAUUCAAAAAGCCCGAUCAGAAUCCUGACAACAUCAUUAAUCUAAUCCAACAACUCCCUCCCUCCCUCCCUCAUGAAUGAAAGAGUGCCCAGAGUUCUUUUACGAGCCAUCGUCACAUGGGUUUACAGCGCCUGCAUCCAAUCCAAACGAUUCAUUCACAUGCGCCCUCUUGUGGGAUCUGAUGGACUAAAAAGCCAGGGAACGCUCCUCCUGUCUGAUCACUUUUCCUAUCUUGGGUUCUUCCCAACCCGUAGAUUCUGUGAUAAGGACACGUUGAAAGAUAGAUUAGGAUGCUUAGUUGCACCGCCUAAGAGCUCAGGUUUGUCCCCUUCUCUCUCUCUCUCUCUCUCUCUCUCUCAUGGGGUUGAGGGUAGCCUGAAUCCUCUUCAUCUUCUUUACCACACCUUCACAUGGGUGUGCUGGGAUGGAGGAUCAGAUGGACCAGAUUUCUUGCACAAGGAAAGAGAGAGAGACAGAGAGAGAGAGAGGAUUCAUCACCUUUUUCUCCCCUCCACCCCGCUUCGACCAUGCAGACACUCACUCGUAUAUGAGCCCAGUAUCCAAAAACCGAUAUGGUGUCAGCUUAGAUGCCUUCCCUUUUUCCUCUUUCGAAAGAAAUUUUGUUCAUCUCAAUCCAAUUUCUCAAAUUGGGUAGAAUUUCACAGGUUUUAUAGAUUCGUCCGAAUCCGUGGUUGGAUCCACUGUCGUAAGAGCUGGUUUCGAUGGGCCCAACUUAAAUCCCUUCUGCCAUUGUCUUCUGGCCCAAGUUAGCCCACUUAGCUCGCUGAGAAGCAAGCUACAGCUGAUGGUCAUCGGAUCACGUUGGCUAACAAAUGGACGGUCGGGAUUUAAAGGAUCGAAGUGGAUAAACACCCCGGUGAUUUAAAUCGACGUUGGAGGGAGGUGGUGAGUGUCUCGAUGGAGGCGGUCAAACUUUCUCGUGGCGAUGGCGCCGAUGCACCCCGCGGGGGACGUCAGAAGCUACCCGUAAGCUCCGUACACUAAGGGACCCACCGCCGGUCGCUGGUGGGUGAGGACGGUGUCGGAGGCAGAGAGUAGCCCUUCGCGCGUCGACGACGGGGUGCCACGCGCGGGAGGCUUACCGGACAGCGAGAGAAGGUGGCGACGCGCAUCUCGACGUGGAAAGUCCCCCAAAUGAUUAACAAGUCCAACACCCCCCUCUCCCUACCGCCGAAAGCUCACCGUUCGAGCGGCGAAGCGCCGUUUACGUCGCAGCUUAUCCCCCCGUCCAAAGACGGCUCCUUCGCUGCCGUUAGAUCAGUAGAAAGACACUACUGUUUCUGAUGGCUAUCGAGGGCGGGGAAGGCAAUGGAAGCUACAGUACCACGGAGGACAUGUCCUUUACUCAAAGUAGGCAAAACAGCCGCUUGGGACUGUCGUUUCACCGCCACCACCGUCACCACCGGGCCAUGCGACUUGUUUUCGGGCCUCCGCUACGGUCCUCCGACCAUGCUGUACUGCUGGACCAUUAAAACGGUCGUGGCCACUUGAAGCCACCGGCAGCGUCUGUACCAUCCGUUAAUCAUUACUCGCCUGGCUCCAGUUGUCGGACCCACCCUCCGGCCAUUUCCUGACUCCCACCACAGCCUGGGUGGGGGAAUGGGGGAUAUUAGAAGUGCCGAUCUGAGGGCGGGGUAUUUAUUUGACGCGCUCAUCAGCGAUUUGGUGAUAACUAAAUAGGAACAAAAAGAAAUUGCGAGGAAGUAAAAGCGGAGCAACGGCUUUAUAUAUAUAUAUAUAUAUAUAUAUAUAUAUAUAUAUAUAUAACACGAAGCCAUCGUCUGUGAACACACUCAUCCGCUUCUUCAUCUAAGCCGAUCUCUUUUCUCGUCUUCUCCUCCUCCGUCGGCUUCUCCUUCUCUCGCUUAUUUUCAUGGCGUCCGCCAUGGUCAACAGCGUUGCUCUCUCGCCGCCGCCGGAGGCGUUCCCCUGGCUCAGCCCUCGGAUCUCCUUCAGCCACGACGCCGCCGACAUGCCCCCCGUGGCCCCGCCGGAGGGUCACCCCGACGACUCCGCGGAGGACUUCGAGUUCUGCCUCCACGACGACCCCGUCGCUAUGCUCCCCGCCGACGAGCUCUUUUCCGGCGGUAAACUGGUGCCCCUGCAACUGGCGCCGCCGAAGCCGGCGGCGGAGGCGGAACCCACCUGUACCGCUGAGAUCGGCUUGCCGGAGCCCCCGGAGACGCGGCGGAAGGCGGAGAUCGCCGGUGUCGACCCCUACGCGUUCUCCCCCCGCGCGCCCAGAUGCACUGCUCGUUGGCGCGAGCUGCUCGGCCUCAAGAGGGCCCGGGGAGCGAAACCUGCUGGACGAGUCGCCGCCCCUGCCGCUACGGUCACCGCCACUUCCAAGAACACAAACCCUAGGUCGUCUCUCAAGCAUCUGCUCCACCGGCACCCCAAGCUCGCUUCCCUGGAUGCGUCGCUGAGCGUCCCCCUACUCGGUGACUCGGAACAUGAGUCCGCGGCGACGGCCUCCCGCCUCUCGCAGUCCUCGUCCUCGUCGUCCUCGUCCUCGUCCUCCUCCUUGGGUCCCGAUCACGAGGACCUCGCCAGGCUCUCGAUCGACUCCGACAAGCCCAGCCACGUCCCGCCCCGGGUCCGCCUCUUCCGGCCUAGCCCACCGGUGCCGGCGUCGUCGAGAGCAAGGGCGGGUCCGACCCGGCGGGCCGCCGAGUCGGCUGCGCCAACCCCGUCGCGAGGGGUGUCGGUGGAGAGCCCGCGGAUGAGCUCGUCGGGGAAGAUCGUCUUCCAGGGCCUGGAGCGGAGCUCGAGCAGCCCCGGUAGCUUCACCGGGGGGCCGAGGCCACGGCCCCGGGGGGUGGAGCGGUCGUACUCGGCCAACGUCCGGGUCGCCCCGGUCCUCAACGUCGUCCCCGUCUGCUCCCUCCGUGGUUCUGGCAAACCGGUGUCCGUCUUCGGGCUCGCCCAUCUCUUCACGCCGCAUCAUCAGACGAAGAAGGACCGCGACGGCUCGGCCUCGAACCGGGCCGAUUUGACGCGGUCGGCCCGGCGUCAGCGGCGUCUCGGGCAAGACCGACAGCCUUCCCCUAAAAUAAUUAUCGAGAAGUAGCAGUAAACGAAUAAUAACUCCAUUAACAGUCAUUUUUAAUCCAAAAUCCUCUGAUGUUGUUUUAAUUGCUUCCUCUGUCACCUGUAAAUAAUGGUAUUAUUUCUUUUUUUGUUCUAAUCCUCAUUUUUAGUGGUAUUUGUUUUUCUUUUUCUUUUUGGCUAUUCCUUGAUAACCAACCCAACGCUGCGUUAUCUUAAACUCGUCGCUGUCUCGCAUCAUACGAUGCGUUUGACCAAGCUAGCGUGCGCCCUCGAGCAGCGUCGGUUAGCGCCAGGCUCCCGGCGAGGAGAUUCGGCGCGCACGUUAGCCGCACGCGGUCACGCCCCUACCAGAAGUUCGCCGUCAGCCGCGUCGCGUGGCCCGCCCCGCUAAACUGCGCGGAACCGGCCCUCGGCCCGGAUCAGGUGCGCACGCUAGCCGGUGGUCCUGGACGUCCGGCCAGUUGUGCCCAUGUGCUGCGCGCGCUCUCUCUUUCCUGCGACCUUCAAUAAUUAGCCAUAAAUAUGCCUCCCGUUCACGCAAAUCCUGAAUUAUUAUGAUUAUUAUUGUGAUUAUUUCCCAUGGAAUUGUUACGGAGACAGAGACGCAGCAUCCAUCGUUCACGAAUGCUCGCUUCCUCAUUCACUUGUUCUCUCGCCUUUGUCCUCACGGUAGCACUCCGUGUCGGAGUUCGGCCACCUGGGCCGGAGCAGGAGGUCGUCGCGGGGCUCCUGGUGAUGUAACGGGAUCCGACGGCAGGUGUUCUCCUGGUCCGGCUUCGUCCUUUUCUGCCUUGCGCUGCUGUUGGAUGAGGAGGCAAAGAUUCUAAUCUCCAUUACAUCAUCGCUGCUCCAAACAUUUCUUUAUUGAUUUCUCUUCCGAUCGUCAUGUUUGUUUUGGCCGCUAGCGAGUGAAGAGCAGCCAGUUCCUUAGCUGUCCUGCCCUUUUAUUUAUCGUUUCCAAGGGGGGGCAAAAGAACUGGUGGAGUGAGGAGAACCAUGUGAUUCUUGGCUGUACUUUGUGAUGAUCUUUGUUGAUACAAGCGUUCGUCCUCGGGACCGUGGCCUCUCUCUCUCUCUCCCCAUGGCAGUCGUUGCCACUGUGGGAUCAUGGGAAGCGAAUGCCACGCAGCAGUGGUAGGAUGGAUCUGGACUCGACAGUAUCAGUCAUCCUUCAUGCUCUAUGAUUUCUCUCGAACUGAUGCAUGUGUGUUUUGUUCAAGAUCUUUGCUGGAGUUUGAGCUCCACUAGCAAAGAAGAGAAUGAGGUGCACCAGAGGAACGACCGGCACUCCAUACCGGAGUACCCCUACCUCGAGCAACUCGUGGUGCGUGGGGUGGGGACUGGUUUUGAGUUGAUGAUGUGGCCCAUGUCGCAGCGCACCUCGAGCACUGCCAAAUGACCUCAGUGCAACUUUACAUUGUGAUGUUCGCCAUCAUUUCAGCAGAGCCAAUCAUCUAAGCAGAUAGAUAGUCCUUUUCCGUCGAACAACAGUCGAUGGAUAGUCGAAGCUGUAAUGCAUCAAAGUUUAGAUCGCACCAUCUCAACAGCAGAGAGAGAGAGAGAGAGAGAGAAAAGGCUUGGGCAUGGAGUCUGUCUGCAAAGUUAAUACUGUAAUAAAGGCUUUUAUCUGAAAGCUUAAGCUUUUGGCUAUCGUCGUUUAGAGGGUGGCUUGGAAUCUUGGAAGCGAUGACAAGGAGGAAACCAGUCGCAGUAUCUGGAACUGCUGCAGAGUUUGAUGGAGCCAAAAAAAGUGCUUAAAACAUGGCAUUGCAGGGUGGCCUUCCGGUCUUGUGACUCCUUCACCUAGCGUUGACUCUCAGUACAAAUGAAUUGCUUCAUUCUGGGAGGGAAGUAAAGGAGGAGGAGGCAUCUUUGGUCACCAAAGUAAUGAGUGGUGUCGACAAAUAUCAUGAUAGUUUGGCAUGAUCUUGACCUGAUUCUUGUUGUCUUCCUCGAAGCUUUGAACCGAUAGCCAGAGGCUCAGACCUCGGGAGUACUCGGAAAUUGUGACUGAUAACUCGGAUCGUGAAUUGGAAAGUAGAAACAAGUGCAUCUCCUAACUCCGAUAUUGGGGUGUAGAGAAUGUUUGUGACGAGAUAUGCAGGAAUCAAACCCUAUGGAUGGAUUGAUGAGAUAAGAAUGUUCAUUGAAAGUAAAUAUUUGUCGACACCAUCUUCCUCGUCUCGUAUAGAAAAUUAUAAUUGAGAUUUGGAUGGUAACAAAUUAUGCGAGAGAUUCGCAGCUUUAUAGCAAAUCUUCGUCAUGAUUUGGAUGGUAUUCAUCUUUUUGGAGAGCCAAUCAUCCUAGAAAAUGUAAUCGACGAUGGUUCGUUCAGCUUCAAGAAUAUAGGAUUAGUGGAGAGAGAGAGAGAGCGAGAGAGAGAGAGAAAAGGACAAUGCCAGUGAUGAAGACGAUGAUGAUUGCAAUAAUGGAUUGUCGUCUUGUCUUUUGAACCGAGGCUCCCACAAAUACCUCAUUCAUCACUCAUUCGAAUUAAUCAAUUGGGUCUUAUCAUUUAAUCUGGUUUUAAAAUUAGGAAAACAUUUUUUUAUUUUUUAAUCUUCAAAUAAGUGUAAAAAAAUUUUAUAUAUUUUUUUUGUUUUUUAAUCAUGCAUAAGAAUUUAAUGUAGCAACAAUUUUCUAAGACGUUUAGUCAAUCAGUUCAGUAGCAUUAGAUUGUUUCCUCAUGCUCUAAUUUUUCUUAUCUACUUUACUAAUAUCUUCUUGUUUUGCAUGUUAUAUUCAAAUACAGAAAGAAAAGCAAGUAGUGGCUAAGUAAGAUAGAGCUCUCGAAGAUCAAACAACAAUCUUUCUUCCGAUGUCAUUUAGUCUCAUAGUGGUUGAGGAGUAUGGGAACCAAGACAGUUUUUAGAGUUCACAUGUUCUGAAAAGAUAAAACCGUACGAGUACGCCCAUCGUCCAAAGCGGAUAAUUCCUUACAAGCCUACAUACCAAUGGUCAACCGACCAAAUUGUCCCUUAUCAUCAUCUUAUCGAGGAUGUCAACAAAAUUCUCUGUAAAGCUCAGUGAUAUUCUAUCUUUAAUAGAAUCGUUUAACUCAUUUAAAACUUAAAAGAAAAAAAGCCUUCGAAAGUUUGAUUAUGAGUGCCCAAUCAUGUUAUUAAGAUUAUGUACAUUUUUCAAAGUAACGAAGUUAUUGAUUAGGAUAAAACGAUUACUUGUCUAAUACUUCCUUUUAUCUGAAGUAUUUUUUUUCAUUUCAUUCUUCUUUACAAAUAAGGACUUGCACUAUGUAUCUUUCUUUUUUUUUGUCAAAAUUUUGGUACAUAAAAAUAUAUAUAUAAGUCAAUUCUAUAACCUAAAUAUUACUGCUAAUAAACAUAAUAUUUCAAGAGUUGCUUGGCCAUGUCAAAUCCAAAACCUGAUUGACAAGUUUAGUUUAAUGUUGCAAGACCUAUAAUGCUUCGUAUUCUACAUUGAGGCUCCUCUGAGUUUAAUCCCAAACACUUUUUUGUAUCGAUUAAUUCAUUCUUAUUAUUUAACUUGAAUUAGAUUCACAAACACUUUUUAUUUCUUAGUAUCAUCGUUGUCUUCCUAAUUAUUAUUAUUAUUAUUAUUAUUAUUAUUAUUAUUAUUAUUAUUAUUAUUAUUAUUAUUAUUAUAUUAUUAUUAUUAUUAUUAUUAAGGAUUUAGAAUAAUAAAUGUUGGUUGAUAUUCCGCCUCAUUCUACGUAGCGAAAAAAAACCUCAAAUUUUCAAGAAUCGAUGUUUUACCUCUACAUGAUAAUUAUACACAAUCAAUGUUUACAUGAAUAAGACGACCCCAAAAGCCCCAACCAAAAUAGUAUUGUCAAGUAUUCUACUUAUCGUGUAAAGCAUGAGCAAAAUCAAAAUAUAGAAACACACAUAAACAUUAUAUCGAAUACCCUAUUUAUAUAUUUAUCCGUGACAUUCUCUCUCACUUAUUUAUUAGACAUUCUUAUUGAAGUCUUUACCGAUACAAAAUCUUUUUGCUUUUGUUGAAUUUUUAAUCUACUCUAAUUGUAAUAUGUCUCUUGGCUUCUAGUUGCUUUUCGUCGCUAUUGUUGAAUAGUCGAACUUUGAUCCGUCAACAUUGUUUCAACUUGCCAAUAACUCUGACUAUAGUGUGGGGUUAGUUGAGUUGUACUAAUCUUUUAUGUUUCCUAUGGAUCUCUCAGAUGAAGGAAAAGACUUUCCUUAUUACAUGCUAGUCUCUCAAACUUUUCAUGCUACUUGAAUUGGAUAAAUAUUUGUUGGAGCUUUAACGAGCAUCAGUUCACAUAUUUUUAAGUUUUUGAGACCUUUCCUCCAUAAAAUUUAUUCAUUGAUUUCUCUUAUAUUUAGUUUUUAUCUCUAAGUAAGUUCGUAUCACUUCCACUUUCGAUUAAUAUUCUAUUAGAAAAUAAAAUAAACAAUAUACUCUCGAUGGAGUUUAUCACCAUUGGUGAAUAUUUAACAAUUAUUAUCUUUUGUUAAAUUUCUUCAAAUGUCUUUAAACACAUGCAAAACUCCUUUGUUAGAUAAAUGAGAGAACUGAGUACUCGAUUUUGCCCAUUCUCUUAAGAGUUAAAAAGAUAAAAGUUACUUGACUUUACUCUCUUCCUCGAGAGUUAAUUACUAGCCUACUCUUUGCUCAUACUUUUGAGGUACCAAAAGUAUUUACAUUUUUUAUGUUGAGAAAACGGAUUAAAUAAAGUGUUUAACUUAAGAUCCAAUAAGCAAUCAUUUAAAAAAUACUUGAUAUAUAAUAUAAAUUAUAAAUAUUUAUUUUGUAAGCUCUAGACAAUCAUAUGACAAAGCGUCCAAAAUGAUCCGUCACGUCAAAAAAUUCGUCCACAUGACAUUAUUAUUGAACAAGAUAAUGAAUUAACCAUAAGCACUACCCUAAAGACUUAUUCAGUCAUAUACUACCUGGGUGCUCUUGGUGCUAUACUAAGUGACACUCGGCACUACUUUACGGAGUUAAAAAAUCUUUAAAAUGAUUACUUGAAUGUCCUAUUUAUAAGUAAUUCCUCCUCUAUACGAUGACUACAUAUAAUCUAUAUUUAUAAGAUUGAAAUAAUCCCAAAAAUAAUCAAAUAGGCUACCAAUCUCGUUACAUAUUAUGUUACAUAAAUAUGAAUAAAAUAAAAAAUAUAAAUAUUAUAUAAAAUAUCCCAUUUAUAAAUUUGUAUGUGACACUUGGAUUCCUUGCUCUUUGGUCACACCAGUGAAAGUAUGCGUUCAAAAACUUUUGGGACUGAUUAAUUCAUCCGUAUUACUUAAUCUAAUGCGGAUUUAUGAACACUUUUUUGUUUCUUCUUUGUAGCAUCGUUCUUAGUUAGUCUGCUAAUUAGUACAUCUUUUUCAACAAAAUAUUUUUUCAUGACUCUCAAGAAAAGGAUUGAAAAAACAAAAAGGAGUUCCACUAAUUUCUUUUUUCAAAGAAAUGAUAUUUUUAUCUAUAGCACAGGAAAUCACAUUUCACUGCAAUUUUUUCAUUCUUUCUUCUUCUUUAAGAAAUUUGUUAUUGUCCAAGUUCCUAUCAGAAAUCUCUCUCUCUCUCUCUCUCUCUCUCUCUCUCUCUCUUUCGGAGCAAUUAAUGUUAAUCUUGAUAUUGUCCUUUUUCUUCUUUUCUUGAAAAUUAUGUAAUUGCAAAGUAAUAUCUUUUCAUGGGUGCUGUACUCUGCACUCAUAACUUUUCAUCAAUGACGGGUGCUUCAAAUUGGCCCAUUCAUGAAAAGUUAUAUCAUGAGGGCAUACUUAUUUCAACUAAUGAAUGUGAGGUGAUGAACCUCACCUCACAUGAAAUAUAUAUAUAUAUAUAUAUAUAUAUAUAUAUAUAUAUAUAUAUNNNNNNNNNNNNNNNNNNNNAAGAUAAAGUGGCGAUAACAAUUUCUUUUGAACUGACUUUUGGCUACUCUCUCCGAGAAGAGAGACAAAAGGUAAAUAAAAUACAAUAUUGAUGGUAUAAUAGGAGGAGAUUUUAUUAGUCAGAAACUAAACAUAAAAUAAAAAAAAAUGGAAUAUUAUUGUUUCCCCUUAUAAACCAUUGGGGUAAGGUAUACUUUGGUGAGGCUUGGUGGGCUGGGCUUUAAGCCCACCGAUUCGGCCCAAUUAACGCGUUGUUGUUGCUUAUUAUUACGAAUGUGCCCUUACAUUUCUUUUCCGAACCCUAGCCCUAUAAAUCCAAGAACACAACCGAAGAACGCGGGAGCGACCGCGGCGGAAAGCAUGAGAGCAAAGGUGAAGCCGCGACCUGGUUUGGAGAUCUAUGUCUUUUUCAUGGUUCUUUUCUUUUGUCUUACGCCGAUGCCGGUUUAGGGGUGCGAAUCAUUUUUCGUGCCUCCAUGGGAGGGUGUUGUUUUCGCUCGCAGGCGGGCGAGCUCGAUAAAUUUGCUGAUGGUUUUGCUUUUAGACAUGAUCUUUUUAGAAGAUGUUCUUGGGAGGCGUUCUUGUUAGCAUUUAUUUGGUUGGAUGACCUAUUAUUACACGGUCUCUUGGUAGCAUUAAUCGUCCGUGGUUUUUGGCUUUCAUCUGCGAUGGAUAGUGUAGAAUGCUCUUAACCUUCGUUGCCCUAAUCCGUAGCUAGAUUGAAUUGCGAUGUGCCUUGAAAUCUGAGGGUAAGCCCCCAAUCUCGAAAGUUAGCAUCGUGUUUUCUUGAAAAAGGGCAUCUGAUCUUUUGCCAUUUGUUCCCUUCUUGCGGUGGUUGUAAGAAGCAACAAAGGCAAGAUGUAUUGAAAUUUUCUUGAAAAAGGGCAUCCGAUUGUAUGGAAUCGUCGGUGUUCAUCGAUCGCCAAUAUUUCUUCGUAUGUUUCGUUCUUGGGUGAUUGUGAGAAGCGACAAAGGUAAGAAGAAUCACAUUGUUUUGUUUUCUUGUUUGCUUCUUUGUUGAUCAACAAUAACGAUUAAUUAUUUUAUUCUUCUGAUGUAAUCCAUUGGGUUCAUUUGCCUAUAAUUUUACAAUCGUGUGUUAUGUCCUCUGUUCUAUUCUGCUGUUAUUAUAAUUUGUCCUUGUAGCUGAUCUAUUUGAUCACCGCAGUGGAAGAAGAAACGCAUGAGGAGGCUCAAGAGGAAGCGACGAAAGAUGAGACAGAGAUCUAAGUAGGCCAUUGUUGGCAGAGAGUGAUCGAUUUGUUUCCAAGUAACCGCCGUGCUUUGCUUUGUGUUCGCCUAUUUGCUUAAGUUAAUGGUUUCGAUAUGUUUAACAUUUGGAGUAUGUUUUUAAUCUCUGUGUCUGCUCUUCUAUAAUUAUAAUUGAAGGAGAUUAUUAUUUAUCAAUCUUUUUUUUUUUUUUUCUAAUCUAUCAUUUUACAAAUGUACAUAAAUACCAUGUUUUCCUCGUCGUCGUCGGACGGCGUCGAGGUGGACGUGUCUAACUGCGUAGGUGACGAGUGGCGUUGGCAUAUUGAUUUGUAGAAAAAAGGCUUGUGAAUAGUAAGCUUCUGAUAUGUUAUAUAUAAAACAAAACAUUCAUUCCUUUCGUGUCACGUAAUAUCUAGAAAAUUGUUUCGAUUGAAUCAAACUGGGAUUGCAAUCAGUUUGUUCGUUCGUUAUAUGUAUCACUACGUAAUAGCAACCGCAAAACAGGUUGUCAACUAUAGGGAUUUUGUUCUUGACAAAUGCCAAACAACACCGGGGUUGAAGAUGGAAGAAAUUGGUAUUCGGUGACAUCAUGUCGUGCUGUCGGGAAUUCAACCCGGCAGAGACCGAUGAGCACAUAAGAUUGGUGGUGGACGGGACAAAUGUUCCCUGCCCACGAUGAAACUUAUCCUGGUCGAUGUGCACGGCCAAUGGUGGGACCCACUGUACGUGACAUGCGAAUGAAUGAAUCAUCUGAUGACAUGAAGCCGGUGUUGGUCAAAAGAAUGCAAUCGGGGCGACAUGAAGCCGUCGACGGGUGCGAAGCCCUUUUGACCAGACUCACUUUCAACCCACCUCUCUCUUUACGAGUGAAGAAAAUGAUCAUAUACAAAACCACUGGAAUCUGCUCGGAGUUCAAUAACCUCAGCAAUCAGUUCAUUGACUCGAGCAAAAAGUCCGCGCCUGAAACUUUUAUACUGAUUCAACACAAUAAAAGUAGCUGUUUGUACGACCUGAAAUAGUGACUACAAUUCAUAUCAGGAAAUAGCAACUGUACUAUUAGAGGCGCAUAUGCUGCUACCGACCGACCGACCGACCGACGGCAGGGAGCCAAAAGAAUUUACAUGGUCAACGAAUUCAUAUCAGGAAAUAGCAACUGUACUCAUUUACUGCUUCCGUUGCAAAGGUGAAGAACGGUGCCAUUGCUGUAGGUCUCCUUGCGCUUCCGAUUAACCUUGCUUAAUCCCCAGAUACGGAUUGUGUGAUCGUCGCUGGCAGAUGCAAGCAUGUGAGGAUUUGAUGGGUUCCAGCUAACGCAGUUGACAGUGCCAGAAUGUCCAGGAAGAGCUUCAAGGAGAUCUCCUGUGCUUCGAUGCCAUAUAUAAACCUGAUAAUAAAACUAUCCCAAUGUCACCGGAGCUAUCUAUGUAAGACAACAAUGUAAUCGUUUUGAAACAAAACAAAGAUAACAACAUCUUUUUGGUUAUUUAUUAUGACAAACAGAGAGUUUCUGUAUAUGUAUGUAGUCUGAUAAUCUCAAGCAAAUUUUCCUAGCUCAUAAUGAAAGUUACUUGACAAUCUGCAAGCAUAAAAGAAAAAAAAAAAAAAAAAUCACAAUUUGACUAGCCGUAUUUCUUAAAUAAAUUGAUUUGGUUCAUUAUUGUUCUUGCAUAUCUGAUUCCAUAGAUUUAGUUGAAAAACAACUAACUUCAUAAAGAGGAUAUGGAUCAGAAAGCAUAGGAAGAAGAAAGACGACAAACGGCAGAAAUUAUUACUUGUAAUUGUUCCCAACAUUGAUAUCUCAUGAUGAGUCCAACUAAAACAGGAGUUUGUUUACAAAAAAAAUUAAUCGGUAGUCGAGAUGAAUUUGAAACAUCACAAAGCUUUUGACUAUAAGACAAAACGUGCAAUAAAAUAGUCUCGAAGCAAUGACAUCAUUUUGAAGUCUCAUACGAUUUGCAUGAUCUAAUAUGAUAGAUAGGCAAGCAGAUCAAAAUUAUUUCUCAGCCAAUGUGGCAUGAGCUGAUUGACCACAUGCGUUGCCAGCUGAAUGCAACCUAAACAGCUUUUAUCAAUAUAACCUCUAUAUUCUUCUAUUAUCUGAUCAUAGAUGUUUGUAUCUGAAAAUUCUGCAAAUAUAAAAAAGGUUUGUCUAAAAGAUAUAAAAAUCAUGCUUGUCAUUGAUCAGACACUUUAUUCCUUGCUGCAUCGAGACAACUGCAGUUCUGUUUGACUGCACCAUGCACAACACAAUUAACAAAACCCCUUGAUUUCAGAUCUUCCCCUGGCUGUCACAAUGAUAAUAGCAAUACAAAAACUGGUCGCUCAAUGUCAAUGACUGCAGGUUAUGAUUUCCUACACUCUCAUGCGAUUGAAUCACAUGAUGAAAAACUACUUCAACAAUAAAAAUAAUUCUUGUACUAACAUCCAAAUGAGUAAACUGAAAACCAGCAAUAAAGAUUCUUAAGCCAUUAAGCAAUUAUAUAUGCUAAUAGCAGGAAAUACGUUUUUGAGAAGUAACUCCAUUGACAUUCACAUCUACUUGUUCAAAAUGAAAAACGGAUAUAUUUUCAUGAUGGCAAACAUGAAUGUAUCUUAGUGAGAAUUGCACACCUGUGAAUCUUCACUUCCGCUGGCAAUGAAAGCCUGCUCAAGUCCUCCAAAACAAGAUCUUAUAAGAAAUCGACUGCGUUUGUGACCUUUAUAUGUGGUAACUAGUUUCGGAUCAUUCCUUAUGUUCCACAAAUGAAUCUCCUGGUUUAUCAGAUUUACAAGCAAAAAAUUGUCAUCCUCUGAUAGUGAAAAUGAAGUAAUUGUUUGUUCCUCUUCUAUCAGUGUCUGAAUCUUUGUUUCCUUAUCGAGCAACAAAAUGACAGUUUCUUGGCACAUGCUUAUAAUUUGUCUACCAUCUUUUGUGACAGCAACAUCAGAGGUUUUACUUGUUCUCUGCCCUUUCCAACAGUCCAGUUCUUUGCCAUCUAAAUCCCAAAAGCAAAUAGUCUUAUCCGUAACUCCAGAAAAGAGUUGUUUUCCAUGCAAGAGCCAACCACAAGAGAUCAGACCAAGACCAGUUUUUUCAUAGACAUAGAGGCAUUCACCAGAAUGAACAUCCCAGCGCCUCACAGCUUCUUCCAUUCCACAAGUUAGAAGAUGGCUGUCAUCAGGGCUCCACGCAACCAUUAGGACAGAUUUCUUAUGACCAAUCAGCUUGUGCUUCAGUGUCAGUUCUCUAUCUUCAUGAACCUAAUGUAAUAUGACAUGCAGUUCAGCAAAACAAAUUUAAUCUCAACAAUAGCAAGACGGAAAUUAUUCUUAGCCCAUCGAACAGAUGAAAGCUAUCUUUAUCACAUCGAGCACAGUUGCAUAACAUCAAUCAAGCACGAAACUAUUGCUUGAAACUAAUUUUUAAACAUUAGUGGAUCACUAGUGUACAAUCAUGUUACAGACCUCUCUUUCAGCCCAAAAGAUCCCCUAGCAAUCUUACAGAGCCAAUGGCCUAAAAGCCUAAACAGAUCGACCUUGAUUUUUACUGGAUCCCAUACUACUGGGUCUUGGCUUCUAGACUAAGUCCACAAAUGAUCAUAGCGACUGAAUCCACAUUAAGACACAAGUCAGGAUCAGAAUGUCAAUGACAAGUUUUAAUCCUACUUGGAUUAGGAGAGAAGCCAUAAAGCUACUUGGACUAGAAAUAGAAUUGUAUUUUCAUCCUUGUUUCUGAAGCAACCUUGGAAGUUUCUAGAGUCCUAAUUUGUAUCAAAUUAGUGUCCAAAAACUCCACUACGUGUGUAACGUAGGUUAUAAUUAUUUUCCUAGUUAGGAUCAUAUUUGAGGGUUAUAGAGCUUUGUAAUAGGAAGAUUCUGUGCAGAUGCGGGAUUAACUUUCCAUCAUGUCUGUUUAGUCUCAGUUUGUUUAGAUAUAGAUAAAGGUUACUGUAAACCCUAAAGGCAUUAAUUCAGAUUAAGAAUUAUGAAUGAUUUUCUUUUAGUUCCUCUCUCUCUCUCUCUCUCUCUCUCUGUGUGUCUCGUCUCUUAUCCCUUCUUUCCUCUUCCCUAGCUCUUUUUUUCUCAAACAUCUUCAUUUGAGGCUAACUUCUCUCAAGAACGAAGGUGCUCGAUAAGAGUUAAUUCCAAUCAUUUUUUUUUUUUUCUAAUGGAAGUCAUAAUAAACAAUAUGCUCAAAAUUUGUUAUAGACUUUCCAUAAGGACAACUAAGAAAUAGAUUAUGAUGUGUAAAUAAAGAAAUUCAAGAUGCCUCGAUUUUUAUAUGUGACAGUCUCAGGUUCCCCAAAACAGCUGAAAACAAUCCUAAAUUUUCUUACAAAUUUACUAAAAAAUGCUCUACCGAGUAAGACAUGAUAUGAAACAAAUGAUAACAAUCAUGAUGCUGAAACCAUCUUGAGGAUAAAUUAUUUUGCAUCAUUUUUCUUACUCAAGGAGAAUAAGGGUUACAAGUGCAAUCAACUCAGAGACAUAAAGCAUGGAGCAUUUGAAACCUCCGAUAUUUAUUAAGUAAAAGUUUCAUCCAUUACAUUCAAUCAUAUUAUUCCCACUUAAAUACAUAUCAGCAUGUCUUAAAACAAAAGAUCAACCAAUUGCAUGCAAAAGGUUAUAUCCAUUCAUUAUUCAAUAAUUAGAAGACACAUCAAGAAGAAAUCUGUAAUGAAUUUUACAACUAAGCACAUCAAUCCAAAAGAUUUACAAUUGUGUUUAACUACUAACAAGCAUCGCUAAAAUGGAGAUAAACCAAAGGCAUCAAACUGCAAGACAAAAUUACCUCCCAUAUAAUUGCAGAUUUAUCAUUUGAUGAUGAUGCUAAAUACUUCCCUUGGUUCGAGAACUGUAAAAACCAUACUUCAUCAUGGUGUUCUUGCAGUACCUGCCAAGAAUGAGCAACAGUUGUUCAGCAGAACAACAGAACUAGUAUCACCCACUUAAUAAAAACAUUUAUGAAAAAAAACAUUACUAGAAAUGCUUCAAGGAAUUCUUUGUCGUUCAAUGUGAGUGUAUAGGUUGUCCAGUAAAAUUUUUAAUAUAUAGGGCAUACCUAAUGUAUGAGGCUUUCGCCAAUAUGAGGUAUGGGAAGGGUUAAUGUAUGCUUACCUUUAAUAUUUAACAAGAAUAUUUUCAUAACUCAAACACUGGUCUUCCAGAUCACAAAGGAACAAUAUUACUUUUGUAUCAAGGUUCGUCCUCAGUAAAAUUUUCAGUAUGUGAAUGUAAAUGCAACUUGCUCAAAAGGUUUUAAACAAACUAAAGCAUAGCUCUGUUAAAUGGCAUUUUAGCCGAUGUUUAAGGAAAACGAGAGGACAAAAGAGAUUGGCAUGCAUAUGUGUCAGAGUUUAAGAUGAUACGAUGAUAAAUUCCAACCUGUGUUGUAUGAGAAGGUAACUGAUCCUUUCCACACUGAUGAUCGGUGUACAAUGAAAGACAGCUUUCAUGAGAGUUGUGAAAAUAGCAAGCUUCUCUUUGGACGCCAAGUGCUUGUUCAACCAAGUGCUCCAAUCUCCUCUCAGGUACCAUGAUUGACGGAGGAAGCAUCUUCUGUAAUUCCUCUAGAAGCUUCAUUCGUGGCUUCAAGGUCUCUGUCCCCACAUUGGCAAACCCUAGCAAGAUACGCUGUGAGGGAGAUACAAUACAACUGGAAAAUUCAUGCACCCGCUUUUUGUUGAUGCCAAGGGGAGUGAUCUCACUUCUCAACGUCUCCAAUGCUUCCAUUAUCCUAUUCUUUUCCAAAUUUUCAAAGAACUUCUGCUCAAAAAUCAAAAAGGACACAGACUUCAGAAUAUUUUCAUCAUCAAGCCCUAUUUUGUGCAGUGUAAUCAGACUUUCAUCCCAAUUUCCGUCAAGAAUUUGCUUCCGAAAGAGAUUGACCAUAGAAGAGUAUAAGGGUAUUCCUGAUUCUUCCUCCAGAACUGCUCCAGUUCUCUCGUAACCAAGAGAAUAAAGAGCCUUGGUAAUAGUUCUCACAAAUUCAAUCUUCUUAAUAACUCCUUUAGGACCGAUCAUCUCUUCUCUCCCUUGGGAUGGUAAAGGCCUGGCCAUUAGGCCUCCCAAAGGAUUGAUAAACUAUAAAAGAGAUACGAGAGUUAAGUGGCUCCCCAGUUCUACUGAGGAUGCUUUAAUAUGUUUUCGCACUGGUUCAUUGUCUUCUACACCGCCCACAAAAUGCCCAACAAAACAUAUAUACUCAAAGCAGCUCUAAUAUCCAAACAAGAUCAACUCAAUUGUUUCCAAAAGCUACUGAAAUUGAUAUGAAAAAGGAUUUCCUGCACAGAGUUAAGUAAAUAAAAAAAAAAAUUAGUGUCCCAAAAACAUUACGCAACUAGUCUAUCAACAGGUAAGACAAAAAGGAACAAAAACAAAACGAAAUGUUAGAAGCCCCAAUUUUAUAAAAUUCCAUAUCAAGUGAAUUUAUGACAACAACUUGGGCAACGCUUGUACUUUAGGGUGCCAACAGGACGACAAUAGAAUUACAGAUCAAAAUUAUAAGAGCAAAGCAUGGGAUUGUUCCUUGUUGCAGUAUAUCGCUUAUUAGCAAGUUCUCUUAGAAGGAAGUAUCUCAACUAGUUUAUCAGUAAAGCAAGAUGAAAGUAACAUAAACCAGACCAUAUGCUAGAAGCCCCAACUUUAUAAAAUUUCAUAUAGAGUAAACAAAUAACAACAGCACAGGUGAUGCUUGUACGUUAGGUUGCCAACAUGACAAAAAAAAGAACUAAGGAUCAAGAUUAGUUGAGUGUGAAGCACAGGAUCAUUCCUUGUUGUAGUCCAGUCAGAUUAUGUAUACUCGUAUUAGCAAGUUCUCUUAGAAGAACCUAUCUUGAUUGCAUUUUGUGUAUGGUACUCGAUGCAUCCAUUCUGUGCAGGUAUGAACAAACACCUUUUUAUCAUUAUCCCCAUUAAAGGAAUAGACCAAACAACUAGACCGACGAGGCACAGCGGUUAAUGGAAAUUGGAUAUUGUUUCGAGUAUGUCUUCUGUCCAUCUUUUUCUGGCAGGGAACGAAGCGAGGAGGGUUAGAAUUCUUUUCUUCUUUUUUAUCCUUGUUCUACUUCACUGUUCGAAUGAGGUAAACAGAGAGAAGAACUUCAUCCUGUAUUAGACAACGAACGAGGCUGUCUUGAAAACACCGGAUCCACAAGUAUAACUAUGUAGCGAUGAGUUGAACUGACCAUACACACAUCGAACAGACGGACAAUCCAUUUCUGGAUCACAAAACCGGAUGCAAACAGUCGAUACAACGUAUAAGUUGCCAUAAGCAGACAAAUUGCAUGAGAACAAAGAACACACCAUGAUAAAGAAACGCAUGAAUCUACAGAUGUUCCCAGACGAUACUCCCAAACAAAAGGAAUUUCUUUUUCCUUUUCGAGUUGUUGAUCCUAUCCAGAACGUCGUGAAGCAGUUCGCUAUAGCAAGAAAUCAGCAAGCUUCUCCUCCAUAAACAUACGUGAAUCGACGAUUUCCCGGGCGUAUUCCAUGCCUAAAGCUAAAGAACCCCCUCAAGGCAUCAACUCUUACGAACUAUGACAAUCUAAGCAUGAAGAAUCAAGAAAAGCACCCGGUGAAUGCCAUCAUGAAGGCACAGAAAGACACCAAAAACCAAAGAUGAAUAGGCGGACCAUAAUCUUGAAACCUACCAAGAAAACAAAGAGUUGUUGAAGAAUCUACCUGAGACGGCCGAAAUCGGUCAAGAAAAUCCCCCCAGUCUAGCACCGACUCGAGCACCAAACAUACAAAAUCGCUCGACCCCAAGCUGCGAUCGGGCUCUGGGACUCGAUUCCGGCCCCAAAGCCCCAAAUCUCAAACAACAACCCCUCCCGCGGAGCGCGAGAAAUAGGCAUCCGCUUCCUCUGGCGCGCCGUUGCCACGAAAUUGGUCACAACUGGGUCAGCGGUUUACCCACAGAAGCAGCCCCAAAGAGAGAGAGAAAGAGAGAGAGAGAGAGAGAGAGAGAUGAACAAAAGGGAAGGAGAGGGGCGAGGGGAGUAGGGAGAUAAAAAAAAGAGGAGGUUGGGGGGCAAUUCAUAUGGAAGAGUGGGAGGAGAUGGGGGAAGGUUAGACGCGGAUGUGUCAGACAGACAGGCGUUGGUUGGUUGGUUAAUAUGGGAUUUGUAUUUUUCUUUUAUUUUUUAUUUAUUUAAUUAUGCACAUUAAAUAGGAUUCUAAUCAUUCUCGUAUUAAAAACAUUAUCCAUAUUUUCACUCUUUUUACUAUGAUAAAGAAAGAGAAAGAGAGAGAGAGAGAGAGAGAGAGAGAGAGAGCCCUAAUUUAGAUUCACAAUGCCGUAGGCAGCUUUGCUUACACGAGAUGAGAGGUUGUAUCUCUACGUUUUGAGUGAGGAAGAAGCAUAGAAUAAUCUCAGUUUAGUGAUUUGGAUCAGACACCUACCUACCUACCUACCUAAACGAUAGGUUGUUCAUCGUCAAAGGUUGUGCUGUGAUGGGUUUAGGAAUUUUGAAGGAUGUGCUCCUGAUUUGUCUUGUAGGAUGACUUCCCUACUUACCAACUUUUCAUGUGUUUCUCUUCAGAAUUACUGAUUUCCACAUUAAAUAUAUAUUCAUUACUUUCUUGGACAUUUUUAUUUGUUUGUAAUUGAAUAUUUUGACCCGUAUUGACAUCUCUUAUUUGUGACUAGGUGUUAGUGAAUUGAUACGUCAUGGUCGAUGAGUCAGCAUGGUUUGGUUCACGAGUUUGAUGUUAGGAGCUCACGAUCGGUUGGACGAGAUGUCGAGGCUGAUUAUGUCCGUAAGUCAGGCUAUCGAUGUCGUCUGAGGGGAAGCGCCUCUCGGUCGGGACACCAGCGUCAUCUGUGUCCGGAGGUCUUUCGGUCGGGACACUAACACCUCGAAGGUGUCUCUCGAUUGGUGUGGUCGCACUUCUAUGGGUGACCGCACUCCUGCAUAGAAGGCCCUCGUCGGGGGGUUCCUAUCUUAGGUCCGUCAACAAUUAAGUUAGUGUUUGAUUUGCUUUUUCUCUUCUCUUUUUUUCUUCUCUAGCCAGAUGUCGGUCAGGGGUUUUUAGGCUGUUGCACGAGGAUCGGUCGUAUGUCGUUUUAAGCGCGACGAUCGAUCCUCGAGUGACGAGUCGAUACCUUUAUGCGGUCGUCGCCCGGGACGCACGGAAUGGCGUCAUAUAGUGUCAUCCCUAGCUUUCUGAGAUGUGACUUACCAAGGGGUGCCACUGGCACGGAUUUCGACUCGACGUAGAGAUGUACCUCCCUUGUGCUGAUUUGGCGGGGCAUGAUGUGGCACGGGUUGUGACGUGGCUAGAGUCCAACGUAUACCUUAUCAAUAGGUGAUGGACAUGAGACAAAUACGUUUCAUUACUUUUAUACAAUAUUUUCUUUAUUUGUAAUUUUUAGGUAGUUGAAAAAGGUAUCCAUGUAAAUUCGGGAUGAAUAUAGCAGCUAAGCCAACAAUAGUUAGUGGGUGGAGGAGAUAAGUUACUUUGAGGUGGCAAAGCCGUGAAUAACUACCUUCGAAGGGAUAUAAGUAUAAAUUUGCCUUUUAAGUAACGCGAAGAAAACCCCACCUGCCGCCUGGCUCGCCGCCGUCUCCCUCCGCCUCACCAUUCUUGCCUUACCACAAACCAAACCAUCCACCGGCCACGGUAAAGGCGUAUUGUCAAUUUUAAUUCCAUAUCAUUAAGCUAAUUAUUUAAUUGAUUAUAAAACCACGAACACAUGAUGUAAAAAUUAUAUGAUAGAAAAUAAUUUUUUUUUUGUGUUUACAUCUUAUUUUAUAAAUAAUAAAAAUAAAAAAUAAUACUUUUAAGAAACAAAAAACAAAUAAUUAAUAUGAAAGGUUUUUUAUAUAAGGCUAACCUAAUUUAUUGAAUAUCAACCAUUUUUAUUCUCAUUCGGCAUCAAAUGUUCAAAACACACGCCAAAAGGUUUAGAAAAAUAGUUUCUUUAAUUUACGGAAUAUAAUGAUCAUAUAUAUAUAUAUAUAUAUAUAUAUAUAUAUAUNNNNNNNNNNNNNNNNNNNNUAUAUAUAUAUAUAUAUAUAUAUAUAUAUAUAUAUAUAUAUAUAUAUAUAUAUAUAUAUAGUGUUAUACGAUUUAUAUUCUAGAAGGGUUGAAGACGUAAUUAACUAACUUCAGAGGGAUAACAGUGUAACUUUGCCAUUGUCGGCUCGGAUCGAAAGCAGAGCUUCGCGCUCUGCGUGGACCCUUUUCUUGCCUUGCCACUGUGGUUUGGCGUUGCGCGUCAUCGCAUCACCAUUGAAUGUGCCCCAAACACAAACCAUCCAACGGCCAUUGGUGACCCGGACGGCCGAUCACGUUUGAUGUUCGGUAUUUGAGACCCGCGAGGCUAACCCCCACCUCACCAUCACCACCUCCACCUCUUCCUCCCCUCUCCGUCCCCGUCCCCGUCCCCGUCUCCGCCAUGAACAGAUUCGUGGCCUGCGCCAGCUUCAACAUGCUGAUGCUCGCAGCGGGCGUACUGACCCUGCAGUCGUCGAAUUCAUCGUCGCCAGGCCAUCAAGUCCAUGAUCUCGCACUCCAAUUCAUCUUCUACGCCGUCGCACAGGUGAGUCUCAUCCUUUUGACCGCGUCCUUUGUGCAUCACUUGCUUCCUCCAGCGGCAGCCAGGGGGGUGACUUUCAUGGCGACUCGUAUUGCUGGAUACCUGCGAAUGGAGAAUCGAGCCCUGUAGACCACACUUCAUCUUCCUCUUCGUCUUGCUUCUGCUUUAGUUUAGUUGCUUGUUUCUUGGAUGUAGAUGAUUGCAUGUUGGUGAUGCCUAAAACUGUAUGAUUCCCUUUCUCUGUAAUCUCUCUGUUUCGUGCGUCCAAUAAAACAGGUGCAUUUUUUAUGAAAUGAUCCCGUUCUUUCUCGUGUUCCGCCCACUGAUGUCAUCUAACACCACGGAAACGUCAUCUAGCACGACGGUAGCGUCAUCUAACACCACGGUAACGUACAACUCUUUUGUUUGAGAUAUUAAGUGGGUAUUACAUUUGUUGAUCACGCGUUCCUACAGUUUCGUAUAAAGCUUCUAUUAUGCACUCAGUAUUAUUCCAUUCAUAUUUUGCACAUCAUUCCAAGUCGCAUUGUGCAAAACACUACUCGUUUCCAUGGAUACGAUGGUGCUGUCAUACGAUCUUGGAAUAUAGUAUCACUGCUUUAAGUAUCUGUGAGCCUGUCCUGCUCUGCUCUGCUUCUGCAACUCAUCUCGGAGUGUUCCUCUUCGACCAAAAAUUAUAGAUAGCACCUGCGAGACUUUUCAGAUAUUUUUUGUCCAUGGUUGAACUCCAAACUUCCCUCUGCUUUUGAGUUUAUAUCUGGUGCGAGAUCGAGUGAUUCGGAACACCAAACACAUUGUUUCUGCUUCGAAUGCCAAAUUCUGUGAAUCCGGAGCUUAUGUUCCUUCGUUGGUGAUCCAUGGCGUCGAUCCUGCUCAACGUUUACAGUCACGGUCGUGCGUCGCAGUUCGCAGGGCCAUCGAGCGGCAGCGAUGAGGCGUUGCCGAAUCGCCGUUCCAAGGAGAAGUGAGCGAGGGAGUAGACGCCGCGCCACCCCAGGGAGGGCCGAGUCAACGACUCGAUCAAAAGCUCUGGUGAUCCGACUUGGAGAAUCGCAGAGGCUUAUCCCUGAAGCAACCCAAGGACGAGUUGGGUUCGCGGAUCUUCUUUGAUCCGUCACAAGUGCUUUAAGGUCUGCGGCCUAUCAGAAGGCGUCGUUGACCAUUAUACAUUCAUGUAUAUUAACUAAACAGAAACAAUUAACACCGCAAAACGCCAUGCUUCCGCGUGAGCAACAACCACCCACAUCGCGCUGCGCCGUGCGGUGCGCGCGACGGAUGUGCGACACUCGCGAUAUAUGACGCUUAGAGUGAAACGUAGAAAAGUCACGGGGAGGGAGAAUGGAAUGCCUGACUGAGAGACGGGAACGCAACCCAUGCCGUCGUGCCCGUCUCUUCUCGUAUGCCUCGCUGGUUUUCCCUCUUCGUCGAACCCCCCCCAGCUGGCGUCCACCAUGAACGAAUCUAAGGGUCGGCCCCGGGGUGGACCCGAGAUGGUCGACAGAGAGAGAGAGAGAGAGAGAGAGCAAGUCGUAGGUACGGUUUAGAGGAAAAAUUGUUUUCCUGAUCACCGUUCAUCGGAGUUACGAUUUUGGUCUGAUGAGUGUACUAAUUGCCCAAUUAGUCCAUCAGAUUCGGAUCGUGACAUUAAUUUUUAGUCGGAUAAGAUCCGACACCUACCCAGCAUCAUCUUGGGAUCCGUCAACGGAUCCGGCUGGCAUCCCAGACCGCAUCAGGUCUCGCCUGCUACCUCCUUGGUCUCGUCCGGUCGCCGUCGAAUCGAAGACCCUUCCUUCUCGCCGAGCGGCGGCUCCCUGUCUCGUCCAUCAUCGUGGAAUCAUUUUUCGCAACGAGAAACUCAAAACACGAUCUCUCCAUCCGUCGACGGCUCGCUGUUUCUCUCUCCAACCAGAUAAAGAAGGGCAGCGAGGAGGAGGAGCGCCGCGACCUCGCUUCCUCUCGCCCCUCUUUAAUUCGCUCUAAAAUUUGGGCGGAGAAGCAGCUUCGGCUGGGAAGAUCAUCAUGCGAACAUGACGAGCCCAUUCGUGCACCCCAUAGAGCAAGUAAGAUGGCCGAGGUGAAGUGGAAUAGGAGAUCGCCGGAGGAUAGGUGGUCAUUUUGAGGCAAAGCGAGGCCGGGGAAGACCAGAUCACAGACCGAGGUAGAUGGAGAGAGAACGAUGGAUAUACAUGGCGGUUUUUUCUAGUUCCCCGUUGGUGCAAUGUCUAUUUUACCCUUCACCGACCUUCGUAAUGAUUGGUGGUCUCGUCGAAUGUCUUUUGCUCUGUCUGUGUACGAGCUUAUCUCCUUGGUAAAACAAGUGCAGAUGACUUCUCGACGAACGAGGGGGUGCCACGUUUGGACUACCCGGCGUCGCACGACGUCGAUAGUUCAUCGCCGUCUGCGAGCUAGCGGCCAACGACCGGGAAGGAGAAGGGAGCUUCGACAUCGGCAUCGACUACUCUAUGCCUUGGGAGGAAGACAGAAAGAAAAAGGCACUUCCUUUCCUUUUUGGCAGAUUCAAACGAGAUAGUGAGAAAAACAUCGGCAGAUCUUUAUUCGGGCGGAGGGAAAACUAGCAGCAUCAGAACCACAACAGGGUGUAUACAUAUAUAACGCGAGCACACAACACAAGUAAAAGCAGCAGUAGAGUGGCAGGUCGCUGUCUUCGGAAUAAAAAGCUGGACGGCUACGGGCAGCUCACGCGUGGUGAAGAAUCGAGCGAGCUAGAAAGCGAGGAGAUCGGCGGGCCUCUUGGCGAGAGGGGAGUUGUGAACUCCGACAGACAGGGCCACCAGAAUCCAACCUGAAAGCAGAAAACAGUAAAGAAAGAACUGGUGGUACCAGGGGAGCUCCCUGCGGCAGUGGAGGAGGCCGACCGACGAGACCACCAUGGUGGCCAGGCCCAGACGUCUCCAGCGCCCAGGCUUUGCAUCCGGGAGGAGCGGAGGAGGAGGUGCGCCGAAUUCACCAGCAGGGAGGUCUCCUGAGUCCUCCAUCACUUUGGUUCUGACAAGCCUUUGCGCACGGGCCGGUCGAUCUGGGAAAAGAGAGAAGGGAUGGGUGGAGCUUUAUAGCACCCGGAGACUCCCAGGUGGAAGAAAUAAAAAGGGCCCGCCCUUUUUUCCUUUUUUUUCCCUCCUAUCUAAUCUCCUUUCUCCCUCCCUAUAGUUCUUGCAAGAAGUCAACAAUUGCGGCAACCCAAAAGCUCGCCUCUCUCGAGUGCACACAUAAGAUUUUCCCAACAUUACGAUUUUUUUCAACUAUACGAGUAAAUAAAUAUCGCUUGUUCUGUUAAGAAAAAUC